CGAGUAAAGUUCACCCCAAGCUUAGGCUUAGAGAACAGUGUAUGAGCAUUCCCAACGAAACCGCCAAGUCGGAUGGUCUUGCUGUACGUGUGGUUACAGGGACCGGGAAUGAUUGGUUUAAGUUCCUUGCCUAGUCAAGGAACUUAUGGAGAGAGAGAACUUAUGGAGACCAGGAACUUAUGGUGACCUGGAACUUAUGGAGCGAAGGGCUUGCCUAGUCAAGAACUUCUGAGAGGGCUUCUAAGAAACUUAUGGAGAAGAACCUACGUGGAAGAGAGAGAGAACUUCUGCGAGAACUUAGGGAGAGAAUGUUUGCCUAGUCGAGGAACUCCGGAGAGAGCUUCUGAGAAACUCCUGAGAGAACCUAGGAGGGAUCCACUGGCAGUGAGCGCUGGUGAAAGAUCCAUUGGGAGUGUGUUGUCCCAAAGAAGCCGCUGAGACGUGGAAGGUUUUACAGUGCAAGUGGUAGCUGUCCGCGACCCCAGCGUCGUGGAGUAUGUGUUCUCAAGUGUAUUAGCCUAGUGUGAGCUGGCUACGGAGAUUCCGUGGGAAUAUGUGUUUUCAUGUGUGAGUCAACCUGUACGCUCGCCGUGGACUGCGAGGGAGCACUGGGAUUCUAUUGGAAUAGGUGUUGUGUGUGUAAGUGAGUCUGUACGUUCGCCGUGGACAGUGAAGGAGCGUUCGUGCCCCAGAGAUCGGACUUUUAUGUCGCGGAAGAGACGUGAGUAAACCAGUAACUGUAAGUGUUUAAUCUUUAUAUACAAUAUCUGAGAAACUAUGUGCGCUCGAGACUUACUUCCAGAGUGGCGCUUUGUAUUGUUAUAACACCGCGGGAAUUGGACAGGCACGGUGGACUACCACCGUUGAGAGAGGACAGUGUGCCGAAUGUCAUGUGUAUUGGAUAGCUAGUGUAUGUUUAUGCUUUGUGGUUUUGUUUAAUUUGUUUUCGGGUCUACCAGACCUAUGACCCGCUUUCCCCGAGAGAGAGGAUAAGUAAGGGCUUUAUUUUCUUUUAGUAAAGUACACGAGAAGCCCA